AAUCCAUGCUGCUACAAAAGAAACCCGGGGCCUAAAGAGGUUAAGGGACAGGCAGAGGGUAGUAUGGCUUAGCCAUAGAAGUUUGUCUAACAGGAGAGAGGCCCCAGGCUUAUCCCCUGCACCACACAAGACAGACAAGAGGAAGGAGAGAGAGAGAGAGAGAGAGCAAAUGAAAGGGGGAGGGGGAGGAUGAAGAGGGGGAAGAGGAAGAAAGAAACUUGCUUGGCCUUCCAGAGUCUGAGCUUAGGAUCAGUACACCUCCUAAUAGGUGGCGAGGCCACCAAGCCACACACAGAACAGUAGAGUGACCUCCCCUAGCACUGGUUUCCACAAAGCAUGAGAUAGUCCAUCCAAAACAUACUAGACAAUGAAAGCAUACUCUCGGGCCCCAGUCCCUCACGCCUUUGUCUCCAGGAGGGCUCAUCCUUACUUCCUUAUUCAUCUUCUAUUUCCCCCAUCUCUGAUGGGCAUCUUACCAUUUUAUUAGCUUCCUGUAAGCUCCCUCCAGCAGGGUAUAACUAAACAAGCAGCCCUCCCAGGGCUGCCCUGGAGGAAUCACAUGCUGUGUGUGAGAGCACUCUGGAAACGGUCAAGUCCUGUAGCGAGUGCCAGUUGCAUAACCAGAGCGAGUCGCCCUAGGACUGGUGGUACUUAGAGUCCAUUCCCUUGGAAGGAUGUAGCCUCUCCCCUGGGCAGACCUGGGGCAGGUGGAAGGGUGGAAACAGAGAGGAGCACCCUCAUUCAGGACAGCCAAAACAGCCCUCGGUUUGAGGAAGGUGGAGGACACUGGCCACAGACCCUGUCGCCCACUGGCCUACGGCUAGGCAUUUAGUACAGACGGAGCAAAUGGGAGGUAUCUGGAGUCUGUGAAUAGCAGCAAGUUAUGAAUGCUGGCACUCAGAGAUGCCACAUUAAUAUUAAUGACAGCAAAUACCCCAGACAUCCCCAAAUCCAGUCAUGCCAUGGGACCCCCCUCCCCUGUUUCCCGUUAUUUUUGGAAAAAUGGCAGAAGUCUAUCGGGCAGAUUCUCCGGGUGAUCCCAUUCCUUUCUGCAGCCAGGACUGCCCUUGGCAUUUACCACAGACCUUUCUAGACCACAUCCAGCUAGGGUGCUUACAGAGUUUUCAGGGAAUUCCACAGCCAGAUGCACGGUCCCAGACAACUGGUUUGAACAAAGCAACAGCAAGAACAAACGGGGACUGGGUGAGACCAUGACACGGCAGAGAGAGGCGCAGAUCGUGGGCGCAGAAAACAGCAUGCACGGUGCAGUCUCAUUUUAGGAAAAAAGGACAGCCCAUUAAGGGGGGGCAUGAGAAAGCGGGAAGGCGUGUGCUGAGGGUCCAGGGUCCCUCGCAUGCCAUAGGUGCUACUUUCUAUUGUGGCUACUGCCCUGUGCUGUCUCCACAGAAGUACCUUCACGGUAAUAGCUCAUUGUGCGCGUCCCACACAUGCACGCACCCUGGGAACCAAGCCGACCCAUGACCAUGGGUCUCACGAGAACUAGGCAACAGGGCUUUCGAGGACACCACAUAUUCUCGGACCCCACACCCUCAGGGAAUCCAUGUUAUCAACAUGCUGGGGCUGCUGCCCCAUAUGAAUCAUCCUGAGGGCCUAGCCCAGGCUAGGCAACGUCAGGCCUUACUUAAUGGAUGCCUGUCAGCUGAAUAAUGGAUGUUUCCUGAGAGCAAUGCCUCAUGUCUCUUCCAGGGCCAAUGCACUGGGAAUGCAACUGUUCUCACUGACCUGCCAUCCCUCCUCUGCUUCACCCUCCUCUUAAGGGCUGCCAGGGAGGAGCUAAAAGAAAGGUCACCGACAGCAGAUGUUGGCAAGGUCCUCCACAUAAGAAGCCAUCAGGAGCUGUCUGCCCAGGGUGGCAUGGCAGUUCCUUUGACAAGCCAGCUGGCUAGAAAAGCUAGGGUCCCCCCUCACCCUGCUUCUCUGAGAAGGGAGUGAAGGAGAAGGAGGGGUCCACCCUGUUACUGCUGGCUAUACACUCCUGCUGUCCAGGCCCACAAGGGCGGAGGAGUCUAGAGCAGGGAAUUUGGCUUGAUUUUUUUUUUCCUGUGAACUGGGGCUGGGACUCGUUCUGUCAUGGCUCCAACAUUCCCUAUUCCUGACCUUAAAAAUAUGAACAAUAACAUCAAUAACAAGGAGGACCAGUCAAUGUGCACUGGGGUCCUCCCAGACGUGGCAGAAGUCACUUACACCAUCUCCUUUAGUCUCCACAGCAACUCUGUGAGAGUGAAAACAUUAUUAUUUUCACAUUAGUGAUAAGGAAACCCAGUCACGGAGAAGAAGGUGCCCAAGCUUUGCUUGUUGCUGGAGAAAGAGAGACUCAGCCCAGACAACCGUUCUUCCCUCUUGUCCCUACUGGAAGAGCCUCUUGCUGGGUUUUGCCAGUGGCACAGGGCGAUCGGAGCUAACAUCUGUGGGGCUCUUUAGACGGCACCAAGAGUUUACAUUCCCAGAUGCCUGCAGACAAAUGUGGAAAAGCCAGGAGGAAACAAACUUGCACAAGCCCCCACAGCUACAACACUUGCAUUCGAACCCAGGUCCCGGGCUUGAGUCUUCCCCAUUUUACACAACCCUUCUGGCCCACAGCCAGAUCUCUCUGAGCCCUGGGCUCCCUGCGUGCAGCCCUGCAGAGGGUGCUGCCUCACCAACUCUCCGCGGUGACUCACUCCGAGGCCCAGGGGAAGCACGGCCCUGUUUGCCGCGCCUCCAGCUCCCCGCCUCCACAUUUGCUAACCGAAACCCGACUGCAGCUAUUUUUAACCCUCCAGCUCCCCCUUGCUUGGGGCUCCCCCCUUUACCCCCACCCUCUUGCCCCAACCCGGUGGCACCACUCUGUCAUUCUGAGAGCACUUCUACAACCUGAAGGCCCCGGAGGGCGCAGCGGAUGCCCCGGACGUGCAGCAGAACUGUAGCACCCCGAGGUCAGAGGUCUGCCUUUGCUCUCGCCGCGCAUCUGUGCCCAGUGUGUGACACGGAGCUCUGCAAGUCUACAACAAAUGGAUGAACUGCCGAGUGACCAGCUUGGCAAAUGACCUUCCCUGGCUGCCAGUGUGAUUCUUGAGGGUUCUAAGGUUUUCCCACACAGGAAGAAAGAGGGGAACAAGAACAAGGCCAGAAAGGCUGGAACCCCAAAGGAAAAAUUAAUGCCACUCAGAGGUCAGACAUCUAUCUACACCAGCCAACCCCACCUGGUCCCCUUCACCAAGCCGGACAUGAACAUACACACACAGGUGCCCAUACUAAGUCCUGGACCGGUCUUAGGAAGCUUGCACUGGGUCUUGGGUUCUUUCUCUAAAGAGCCCCAUGACCUCAGAUGCACCGCAUACCCUUCUGCAGGUCUAUUCCACAGAAAUAAACAAAAAGGCUAACUCAGGCGUGCACUGCUCAGCACCACAAUCACCCACCAUGCAAGGUAUCCCCCUCAACUCCUACAAACUCUAAAAGAUGGUGGGGACGGGGCCUGAGGGUGUUUUUAAACACAUUCUUCACAGGAUCCUGAAGCAAUUGGUCCAGGAACUGGCGUUAAAGACUAAGGACAGAUGCUAGACAUGGUGGCGGUACCUGCCUUUCACCCAGCCCUGGGAGGCAGAGGCAGGUGGAUCUCUGAGUUCAAGACCAGCCUGGUCUACAGAGUGAGUUCCAGGACAGCCAGGGCUACAGAGAAACCCUGUAUUAAUACACAAGCAAACAAACAAAUAAAUGAAGAAAGGAAGGAAGGAAGGAAGGAAGAAAGAAAGAAAGAAAGAAAGAAAGAGAGAGAGAGAGAAGACAAACCAUGGACAGUGCUUUUACAGGUCAAGAUCUGGACAGGUGAGAAAAAGCUAACGCCUACAUAGGUACACUUCCCCUAAAACCUCUCCAUAGGCUCUAUAUGCCCCACACAGAGCCAUAACUUACGAAGGUGCACAUGACACUGGAGACACACAUCUGCGCCACAUGUGCUCAUACCCCCAAACACCCAACAGAGCCAGCACAUGGACCACAGAUUGCCACAGAACCACCACAUCGACACACACACAGCCCUGGGCAAACACAGACACCCACUACACACCCAGUGCAUACACGCAUAUCACACGGAGGCUCGCACUAAACAGAUGCUAGCCUGAAUUUAUUUUGCCUCUGGGAACAAGUCCAGAACUAAAGGAGCCAUGCUCUGCUGAUGAAAACAUCCCUCCUGCCUCCCCACCCCUUGCCCCAGGCAGUGCUGUCCACCACCCCUUGAAAGACGGGAAGAGGGCGGUGGAGAGAAGGAUGGGAUAUGAGGAGGCAGAGGCUAAGGUUGGUGUUUCAAUCUGCUUGGAGACAUCCCCAAAUCCAGCCCAGUUCUCUUCCCUUGCCCACCAGGAGACACUAUAGGGCCCCAAGUCAGUGCUCGGUCAGGCCAGUUGACUGGAUUCCCAGGCCCUGGGCCUACAGAGUGAAAAGGCUAAGGGGAGAUGUGGGGGCUCCCAGUACGUGGGCCACUAAGGAAAGGGCUGUCUGGAGCGCCUUCCUGCAGCCCUAAGGCCUGAGGCCUCCAUGGAAUGUUACCACGGAAACAGGGAAAAUAUUAUAAGGAACACAAUACCCGGUAGAGUCACCUGCUCACCAGGCUUCCUGCUGUGUUACCCACCCCACCCCCCCCCAUCUCGGGGCACUUAGAGCCUUCACUAGGCUCAACCUGGGCCUCCCAGCCGGAGCUCUCCUUCCUGUCUCUCCUGGAUUAGGGAAGCAGCUACAAGCGAAAGCUCUGCCCUUCUGUGGUUCCAAACAACAUCAGGGAUGGCCCAGCGGGCCCCUCACUCCUGGUCCCUACCCACCGCCCAACACAGGAAGUCAAGGCUUCCUGCCCCAGAGGAAGUGCCCCAUCUAGUGAACAAAUCCAACAUAUACAAAUUCAAAGCCCCGGAGCUGGCGCCUCCAAGGGGACAUGCCUUGGAGCUCUGCAGUAUACCCCACAGUCCCCUGCAACCUCCAGACCACAUCUGACCAAGGAAGAACUCAGGCUGGCAGAGGCCGGUCUGGUUGGUGCCAUCACCUGGCUGGGUGAUUCUGGGCCUUGCAUUAUUAGCUCAUCUUUCUCUGGGGCUUCUGUCAACUUUAAAACUAUCAGUUCUUAAGGAAAGGCAAAGGGCAAAGAAGGCAAAAAGGUUUUCAGAGGUUUCCAUAUUCUCAACCCCGGGAAGUGUGCCUACAGGUAUAAAAGGGUCCGAGUUCCCCAUCCUAGCACGGCUGAGCCACCAGGAACCAUAGUUGAGAGCCGUUAUCCCCGAGACAAGGAUGUUCUACCUGUUCCCUUACUCCCUGCUCAACACUGACUGAUUAUUUGUGGUUGGUCCCUCCAGUUCGGAGCUCUGGAAAAAGUGAACUGAGACACCCCUCACCCCAUGCCCGCCACCCUGUCAUGUUAAUUUUGAAAAAAAGUAUACGUAAGCAAAGGUGACCUGCUUAGAAGAGAAACCUCUUCUGCCUCAAAGCUCAGCUUAUGCCCCUGAGACACAGAAAAAUGCCCCAGCCAAGGACUAAACUGAGCAGCGGGGAGGGGGGGGGGGUUUCAGAUGCACCCUGUACCCAACCUUUCCACAGCACAGCUCCGAGUAUCUAGCUUGGAGAACUAAAGACAGAGACACGAGCCCCAGCCCCAUCAGGUUUCAGGACCUGGCCCAAUCUCAGUUAUCUGGGUAUCACACGGUGGGACUGCCCUGUGCCUCAGUUUCCCCCAGGAAUGACUGUAAAGAAAAGUUCUUAGUUACGGAGGGGAAACGGCAGGAAGCAGAGUGUGAGGAGGUAAGAGUGGAGGAUGAUUUGCAGUUGCUGGGAAGGUGCAAGAGCGUUGGCACAGAGGGGAGGCACAUAUGGCAGCCUACUGGGGUCCUUUCGGGAAGAAAUGGGUCACCUAAGUACAAGUUAGAGGAUGGAAACCAAUUAAAGUCACAGUCGGCAAUGGCUGGGCCAGAAAUUUGAGCAAAAUCUCAUAAGUCUAGGUAACAAGUCUGGAGGACUAGCUCCGGAUUCCAGAUGUUGCGCUCUCUCCAGGGCCACCAAGGGCCAAUGUCCUAUUAUCACCCUAAAAAUUUGGCAGGCAGAAACUGGGCCUCAAGCAGAUGCUGAGUUGGGAUGAGGGAAGGGAUAGUUAGCAGCAAGCCAACCGGCGCCAGAUGAUGCAGGAUGCUUUGGGGGAAUGCUGGACAGCUAGCAUUGACAGUUAAAGGACCCGGAUGGUCAGCCACAGGAAACCCUUGCAGAGGCAGGAUAAGCAGCCACCUACCAUGAAGAAGCCAUCAUCAUCCAAAAAGAACCCACAGUUCAGAAGGAUGCCCACAACAGCAAUGGACGCCAGCAACGUGGGCAACAGAGGAGGUAGUGGCUUACAGAGCGGGCUCCACCAGUUCAUCAGGCCAUUGAGUGUUGGAUCAAGGAAGGCUGGAUCAGAAUCACUGGUCCCUUGGGCCCUGGUUAUCAGAGGAGAGGCUUAACGAGUUCCCGACGAAUGCACAAAGGCUGAACUGCAGGAGAGUUAGCCUUCGCUCCAUCCCCUCAACACCUACCUACGUUUUGGAGGAUACCUGGCGAGGGACCUCAGCAAAUCGUUUGUUGAUUGGUUGGUCGGUUUUGAGAAAGCCUCUUUGCACAAAGUUCCGGCUAUCCUGACCCCUGGAAUCUUCCUGCCCUGCCUCUGGAGCAUUGGAAUUACAGACCUGCGACACUUUUAACACUCGAUGCUUAUUGUGGAAAAGUUGCUAUUUCCGAUGCUCACAGAAGUGGGCAGCCAUGCCAUGUUAACCCAUCCACACGUUUGGCUGGAUCUAUGGAAGCCCUACUUUGUUCCAGUCUGGUAAACAAGCUCAAAACACAUGCUGCCCUUUCUUCUACGGCGCGGUGAAAGUGUUCAGUCCUUGCUUUGGAACUCAGGUACUUCCUACUCUGGCUAACAGACCUCCCCGUUGCCUGGAAAUCAGCUCUCGUCUUUCCCCCCUGACCAACCGGUUAUCACGGAACAGGCGCAAAGCGCUUUCUGAAGAAGGUCGUUCCUGGUAACCCUCCAUCUCCACGCCCCCGUGACCUAUACCAGGAUCUCUCCGGCAGCAUCUUCAUAUUCAACAUUCUCGUAAUAUUUUGUUUUCCUUUAACUCUCAUGGGAGAGAAGUCUAUCCUUUUUACUGCAACUCCCUGUGCCUAGCCCAGUGUCUGGCCAUAGUAGAUGCUCAGUUAAUCAUUACUGAGCGUGUGAAUAAGUGAACACACGUCAGCUAGACAGCAGGAGGGAGGCAUAUGUCUGUCCUUUGGGCCUUCAGACUAGGCAUUCCUGGCCAUAGGCCACUAGUUUGUCCCCUGUGCACACAUGGUCCAGGCUGAGUCAGGGCUCUGUUCUUUGGGUUUUAUCACCAAUUUCUUCAAGAUCACAACAACUUCCUUCUCAGUGUCUCCUCCCUUUGGGUUACAGCCUCCAGCCUCCAAAGUCAACUCAGGCAGAAGCAUAUAUUAGUCCCCAAGGAUUUGUGCCUGCAUCGGAGGAACUCAGGAGACUGGAAAGUUCAUCCGAGGUCACGCAAGAACAGAGCCUGAGUAUUAGGAACACCCAAGUCCCAUGAAUAAGCUGUGGAACCCUGCUCAUCUGGUUCCUCAGAAUCCUAUGAAUCACCUUGGCCUGCAUAAGACAAAGCCACAUGUGUCAAGCGACCCCUCCACAGGCCUUCUGGGCUGUGCAAACCCAGCAAAGUGAACAUUUCCUUGUCACUUCUCUCGUUCAUUCCUCCCCCAGACUUCCCUGCUGGCUCUGAGAAGCUCUCUGUCAUUCACAGUCCCCAACGUGUCCCAGGUCCCUCAGCUCCUCCCUGCCAGGCUCCGUACCCGGGGAGACAAUGCAGAUGGCCAUGAGAAGGACAUGCUCUUCCUCAUUGAUUACUGAAUGCUGGAUGCAAGAGGAUCAAUAAACAGAGCUUCGCCAGGGAUGUCUGCCCCAGAGCUUGCCAAGUAGUCCGACACCGACAGAGUGUGCCCUUGUGAUGGACUCUGGAAGACAUUUUCACAGCACAGAGAAGGCCAGAGAGGACUGCACCCGAUUGACUGUACUCCAAAGUGUCAGGAACGGCACCCAUAGCACGCAGGUUCACAGAAUAACCCAUGAAAGCCGACCUCUUCGCUGUAAACACUCCUCAUCAAAAUGUUUCCAAGACAGACUGACCUGUGCGGGGCCACCUGAGUAACCAAAAGCUUUUCUCAGAUGACGCUUCAGACUCUGCAGACGCAGGGACGACCCCAGAAUUGUAUGCUCUGUGGUCUUUGUGUGACUUGACAUGGGCUUCUGUUGACAUCUCUGCUAGGUUACAUAUUGUUUCUGAUUAUCAGUGCUUGCUUUUAGAAGUAUGGCUUCUUUUCUUUUUAAAAUUAUUAUUACUAUUAUUAUUUAAAUUUUAGGAGUGAUUUUCCUGCAUCGUGCAUCACAUUCAUGUCCGAUGCCUGCAGAGGCCAGAAGAGGGCGUCAGAUCCCCUGGAGCUGUAGUUACAAGCAGUCCUGCCAUGUGGGUGCUGAGAACUGAACCUGUCCUCUGGAAGAACAGCCAAUGCUCUAGCCACUGAGCUGUCCCUCCCACCCCAUGUGUCUUUUUCUUUUGAGACAGAGUCUUGCUCUGUAUCUCAAGCUGUCCUGGGAGUCACAUAUAAGCAUCCUUUAGGUAAGUAUCACCCGUAUCCCUUCUUUGAAGAAGAGGAAGCAGAGGCCCAGAGAGGUAUGUGGUGUGCUCAGGGUAACACAGCUAACAGUGGGAGAGCCAGGGUUCAGACCUGGGCAGUCUGGUUCUGGAAUGAAUGGUGAUGCCCACAGUCCGUCUGCCUCCAACCGAACCCAGCUGAACAGCUCAGGGGAAUUCUGCUUCUCAGACUUGGAGUCCUGACACAAAGUGUCCCAGGUGAAGCUAAAGAGUAUGAACCGUUAAAGGGACAAAGACUGUCACCGGCUUACAGGAAGAAGGCAAAGACGACGGGAGUUAACCUUCAGAGGCAAGCAGCACGCCUCAGGGUGAAAGACCAGGGUGGCUUGCCAAGUCUGACGCCCUGGGCUCAGUACUUGGGACCCACAUUGUGGAAGGAGGGAACUGACUCCCCCUAGCUGUCCUCUGACCUCCACAUGUGUGCUAUGACAUGCCCCAGCUUAAACAAACAAAUAAACAAGA